CUAAUACAUGCAAGUCGAGCGGACAGAUGGGAGCUUGCUCCCUGAUGUUAGCGGCGGACGGGUGAGUAACACGUGGGUAACCUGCCUGUAAGACUGGGAUAACUCCGGGAAACCGGGGCUAAUACCGGAUGGUUGUUUGAACCGCAUGGUUCAAACAUAAAAGGUGGCUUCGGCUACCACUUACAGAUGGACCCGCGGCGCAUUAGCUAGUUGGUGAGGUAACGGCUCACCAAGGCAACGAUGCGUAGCCGACCUGAGAGGGUGAUCGGCCACACUGGGACUGAGACACGGCCCAGACUCCUACGGGAGGCAGCAGUAGGGAAUCUUCCGCAAUGGACGAAAGUCUGACGGAGCAACGCCGCGUGAGUGAUGAAGGUUUUCGGAUCGUAAAGCUCUGUUGUUAGGGAAGAACAAGUACCGUUCGAAUAGGGCGGUACCUUGACGGUACCUAACCAGAAAGCCACGGCUAACUACGUGCCAGCAGCCGCGGUAAUACGUAGGUGGCAAGCGUUGUCCGGAAUUAUUGGGCGUAAAGGGCUCGCAGGCGGUUUCUUAAGUCUGAUGUGAAAGCCCCCGGCUCAACCGGGGAGGGUCAUUGGAAACUGGGGAACUUGAGUGCAGAAGAGGAGAGUGGAAUUCCACGUGUAGCGGUGAAAUGCGUAGAGAUGUGGAGGAACACCAGUGGCGAAGGCGACUCUCUGGUCUGUAACUGACGCUGAGGAGCGAAAGCGUGGGGAGCGAACAGGAUUAGAU
rnacentral:rRNA from 1 species